rnacentral:rRNA from 1 species
UACGGGGGGGGCAAGCGUUGUUCGGAAUUACUGGGCGUAAAGGGCUCGUAGGCGGCCAACUAAGUCCGACGUGAAAUCCCUCGGCUUAACCGGGGAACUGCGUCUGAUACUGGAUGGCUUGAGGUUGGGAGAGGGAUGCGGAAUUCCAGGUGUAGCGGUGAAAUGCGUAGAUAUCUGGAGGAACACCGGUGGCGAAGGCGGCAUCCUGGACCAAUUCUGACGCUGAGGAGCGAAAGCCAGGGGAGCAAACGGG